rnacentral:lncRNA from 13 species
AUGUCAAGCACUGUCUUUAUUAUAAUACAUUUCUACCUUGCAGGUUUGGCUGGCCGCAUCAGGAGCUGGGUAGUAAAAAAAUGGAGGCAUAGGAAAUGUUGCCACAUUGAAAAUGAAGCUCCUGUUCAAGACCCAAAGGGGUGCACAAGUCAAAAGCUUCAGGAGGAGACGUCACCUGACUUAGAAAAUGCUACAGGUGAAUAUCACCACACUCCUGUUGAUGACCCACAGGAGUGUACACCUGUCAGUGAGGAGAAGGAGGUGGCCUCUGACAUGAAAAAGCCUGUGGCCCUCUCUCACUGCCGUACGUAUUCUGUUUCUUUUAAAUAGUUACUGAAACGUAGUUGACAUGCAAACUAAUUCACCCAUUUAAAGUAGGU